AACGAACGCUGGCGGCAUGCCUAACACAUGCAAGUCGAACGAGACCUUCGGGUCUAGUGGCGCACGGGUGCGUAACGCGUGGGAAUCUGCCCUUGGGUUCGGAAUAACAGUGAGAAAUUACUGCUAAUACCGGAUGAUGUCUUCGGACCAAAGAUUUAUCGCCCAGGGAUGAGCCCGCGUAGGAUUAGCUAGUUGGUGGGGUAAUGGCCUACCAAGGCGACGAUCCUUAGCUGGUCUGAGAGGAUGAUCAGCCACACUGGGACUGAGACACGGCCCAGACUCCUACGGAAGGCAGCAGUGGGGAAUAUUGGACAAUGGGCGCAAGCCUGAUCCAGCAAUGCCGCGUGAGUGAUGAAGGCCUUAGGGUUGUAAAGCUCUUUUACCCGGGAUGAUAAUGACAGUACCGGGAGAAUAAGCUCCGGCUAACUCCGUG
rnacentral:rRNA from 1 species